rnacentral:misc_RNA from 1 species
UUGUGGAGGAGGACGCCGAAGGUGGGGCUAAUGACUGGGGUGAAGUCGUAACAAGGUAGCCGUACCGGAAGGUGCGGCUGGAUCACCUCCUAACAGGGAGACAACAAAAUGUUAAAUAUUAAUUUUGUCACCUUAGGUCGAUCGGUAUCUCACGUUCUUAAUUUAUUAAGGAUUUUAUUUCCUAAGUUUUUUCUAGGUCACACCCAUUACUUUUCCUGGGCCAUUAGCUCAGGUGGUUAGAGCGCACCCCUGAUAAGGGUGAGGUCCCUGGUUCAAGUCCAGGAUGGCCCAUAUCUCUAUGUUGGGGGUAUAGCUCAGUUGGUAGAGCGCCUGCUUUGCAAGCAGGAUGUCAGCGGUUCGAGUCCGCUUACCUCCACUGAUUUCCACCUCUUCCAUAAUUUAAAGAAGGGAAUUGUUUUGAAUUGUGAUCAAAUCUGAACGAAUCUAGCUUCCUAAUUAAUUUCAUUAAGAUGCUGGACUCAUUGAAUUAAUUUCAUUGUUUUCAGAGAACCUUGACAACUGCAUAGAUUAUUUUUUAAAGACAAUAAGCAUCUUUAAUGAUGCAGAUUUAUUAUUUGUGCAAUUGCACUAAUAACAAUUCUAUUAAGCUGAUGCUUCAAUUAUGAAGUUAUUGGUCAAGCUACAA